ensembl:lncRNA
GUAAAUAAUCCAAACGGAGCGUACUGCACAAUAUGUAGAAAAGAAUUCGGGGUUGGGCAUGGUGGAGAAGGGGAUGUGCAAGCACAUAUGGAGACUGAAUUCCACAAGUCCGGGAUGAGACAAGCAAGUACUUUGGAAUCAAUUCAAAGUGUCUUUGUUGCCUCAAAAGACACCAAUGCUCAGUUGAAAAUAUCAGCCACUAAAUCAGCUUGGCAUACCACACAAAUGAACACGCGCUAGCAUAUCGCUCACUGGACUGCUCUGUGAGACCCAGUGAAGUUAUGUUUCCUGAUUCAGUGAUUGCAACUAAAAUGUCCUAUGGGCGAACAGAAAGGGACAUUUUUUUUUUUAUUGAGUUAAUGAUAGGUUACAAUCUUGUGAAAUUUCAGUUGUACAUUAAUGUUUGUCAUUCAUGCAAAAGGGGAAAUUUUGAUUACAGAUGUCUUGGCCCCUUACAGUGUGGAGUUGAUUCUGUCAGAUCUUACCAGCAGUCACGCUUUCUACGGUAUAUCAAGCCAUGUGAUGAAGCAUGGCAAUAAAAAAGUGUUCCCCCAGCUCUUAGGUACUUUGAUUUGGAAAAUGGGGUUUCAAAUCGUUGUCUUGAUUUCCGUGAAGAUUUUAACAAAACCUCAGAAACUAGACUCCAAACACAAGCUAGACUUUACUCGGCCAUCGGCAUGUUCAGCAGAUAGCGCAGAUGUAAAUUUCAGCAAAUUCCAUUCAGCCUAUAAACUUCUUACCAAAGAAAAUGAAACGAUCUCACCUGCUAAAUGUCCUGCACACCUUGUACCCAAGACUGCUAAAAAGGGGUGUGAUACGCUUUCCUGUGACACUGAGGCUUUCAUAAUGAAAGUUUUUGGUUACUUUUCAAUUUCCUCAAAACAUGCAGAAGAACUUAAUGAGAUUCUUGACUUUGUAGAAAUGGAAGGAGAUGGCCUCCUUAGACAUAUGCCUACAAGAUGACUGUCAUUGUUGCCAGCCAUAGAAACGAGGUUAAAAUGUUGGUCUACCAUACAAUCCUGUUUUCAAAGUGUGGGAAAAGAAGAAUGUCCUUCUCUUAUUUGGGAAUACAUUGAGGAUGAGAAUGGAGAAAAGGAUUACAGUACAACAGAAAUUUAUAUGCUGUUUCUCCAGAGCUGCUUGAUGAUCUUUGAAGAGGCCGUAAAGAGUCUAGAAAAGGACAAACUGUCGGCACCUGAGUUAUUUGACAUUAUGUGUAAGUUGCGACAAAAACUCAUACAGCGAAAAAAAUGACACAUUUUUUGGAAAGAAGACUGCUUUAGAACUGAAAAAAAUGUCACCAGAAAAGAGCAGUCAAAUUAAACAGGACUUUCUCAAUUUCUUUACUAAAACUAUGCCUUUUUUGGAAUCCAAUUUUGAUUUCACAAAUUCUAAUUACCUCUGUGCUUUAAAACCAUUUUCUCUCAGAAAGAGAGGUUUAACUUACAGUGACAUCCGGUGUGAUUCGGAAUGUUCAGAAAUGAUGGACCUUUUAGACAUGGAAACCUCUCUGAUGAAUUUAUAGAUGCACAGGACUUGAUAGACAAACAGCUGGUCUACCCGAACAAGCCUGGAGAUGAAAAAUGGAUGGACGUUUCUGGAGAGCUGGAAACAGAUUCCUACAAGUCUAAAAACUUGCUGCUGCUCGUAAGUAAAAUUCUAAGUAUUCCAUGCUCACAUGUUUUUGUUGAGAGGGUAUUUAGAUUGAUGUCAUCACAUUGGACUGACACCAGGAAUCAGUGUGACGUAGGCUUGGUGAGAGCACAACUGCAAGUCAAAGAGAAUUUUCCAUUCGACUGUAUCCAGUUUUACCACCAUGUAAAAGAAAAGAAGGAUGUCCUGAAGGCUGCAGGCUGUUCAGAGAAGUACUAUUGGACAAGGAAACAGAAAGACUUCUGCUGUCGGAAGUGGGAUUUGAAGAAGACCCCUGACGAGCCCCAAGGCCAGUGAGUAGCCAGGUGCUGGUACCUCCCAAGCCCAUUGUGCUCACUACUUUCUCACCAACCUCGGGGUUCUAACGUAAG